GGAUAUGGCUCAAUGGUAGAGUGCUUGCCUUGCAUGCACAAGGUCCUAGGUUUGAUCCCCAGCACCA
rnacentral:tRNA from 1 species